rnacentral:rRNA from 1 species
UACGUAGGGCGCAAGCGUUGUCCGGAAUUAUUGGGCGUAAAGAGCUCGUAGGCGGCUUGUCACGUCGGGUGUGAAAGCCCGGGGCCUAACCCCGGGUCUGCAUUCGAUACGGGCUAGCUAGAGUGUGGUAGGGGAGAUCGGAAUUCCUGGUGUAGCGGUGAAAUGCGCAGAUAUCAGGAAGAACACCCGUGGCGAAGGCGGCCCUCUGGGACGGUACUGACGCUGAGACGCGAAAGCGUGGGGAGCGAACAGG